AUGUUGAAUCAAAAUGAGGAUGAUGACGAGCAUGGUUUUUUUUUUGACGGGGCAAGAAGAUAGGCAUGUCGACCAGGCCCAGAGCCCAAAGGGUUAUUUAGCUGGACCCAUGCCACUCCAAAGAAUGCAAGCAGAUUGUUCGUCCCAAGAUACUUGCAAUACUAGCAGUCCUGUGCCACUCCAAGAAAUGCAAACAUAUUGUCCACCCCAAGAGGUUUCACAAAGUUCAGAUUGUUUGAGUUGGAGACCGCUACAAAUAAAUUUUCCCAAGACAACAUGAUUACACAAGAUAGCUUUGCUACAGUCUACAAGGUACUCCGUUGU